rnacentral:tRNA from 1 species
GGGAAUGUGGCCUAACGGCAAGGCGUGUGAUAGGAAUAAUCCAGUUAAUGGUGUUUCCACAAGAUUGCUGGUUCGAAUCCAGUCAUUCUCA